rnacentral:misc_RNA from 1 species
AAAUUUUCAUAUUUAUUUUUAUUAGUUUUAUGAAUGAAAUAAUUUUCUUUAUAUAUUUAAAAAAAAAUAAAAACAAUUACUGAUGAUAGGUGAUUGCGAAAUUUGACGUAGCAAAAUCAAAGAGUUAAGAGGACUCCUAGCAUAGUGUAUAGAGUUUUACUUUGAUAACUAAAUUAAAAUCUCGUGUUGAAAGAGAAUAUGGAUGGUGUCGGGGUCUGAGUUCCUAUUUAAAGUGUAAUAUUAUUUGUCAAGUAUUUUAUAAUAAUUUGGAUAUGUGUAAUCUUGUUGGAGUUGAAAACUAAUUCUAUGUUGAUGAUAAUCUUAUAAUUCUAAUUGUGUUAGAGUGGAAGUCAUAUCUCAAUAUCAGAUAUAUUUAGAUUGAAAUUGGAUAUUUAGGUGGAUUUAUGACAAGAAAUAUUUGGACUAUAAAUCUUAGUUGAAAAUUCUCUCUGCAAUCAACUAUUUAUUUAAUGUACCCAUAAAAAUGAAAGGCUUUUAACGUUAAAAGUGAUAAUUGUUUACAUUGUUUGCAAAAAGUUUAGAUUUUUGUCUUGGUUUAUGAUGUUUAAUUUUUAUUUUCAAUAAAAAUGAUUGAACCUCUUUAAAAAAAAAUGUAAUAUGAAGUUAUUGUAGCAAAAUUUAAUAAAAUAACUAUAAGAGUUUUGUUUUGUUAGAUUUUUUAAUUUUUUAAAAUUUUUGCUCAAUUAUGAAUAGCUCUUAUCCCUAGUUAACUUCAUCCAAAAGUCAAGAAUCCUAUUUGCAUAUGCAAUCGGGCUUUCUAUAAUUGUGCCCUUUUGGUUUAUGUUUCUGUUCAUAAGAUAGCCACUUGUAAUGCAUGUUUUUAAAACCGGACUGGAAAGUUGAACUAGUCAAACUGUAAAUCUCCUCUACUAGUCCAGUACGUUUUAACAUCUUUUGUUGACUAACCAAAAAAUUGGUCGAAACUAGCAAACUGGAUGAAUUGCCUAGACCCAUGAGAACCCAUCUUCACAAAAAACCUAUUUUUUUUUUUCUUUUCCCUCCAAUAGUGGGAGGAGAAAUGGGGAUUCGAAUAUGAGUUUACCAGGUGAGUGAUAUGCCUUCAGCCAGUAGAUUAAGCUAAGCUGGGCUGCAAAAACUAUGUUGUUUUGGUGUAAAAGGGCCAAAAAAAGAAGAGGGAGGGGAGAGAGAGAGAGAGAGAG